UGAUCUCCAAAGAAUAUAGAAGAUGGAGAUGAAGAUGAAUUGCUAGAAUUGAAGAUGAAUGGAGAAAUAGCAUUUCCGGCCAUGAAAACCUCUACCCGACGGUUACGAGGGGUGCUUCAUAAGCAUGAUUCUAAAGACCGGAGAGAUCUUCGAGCUCUGGUUCAGAAAGACGAUUGCCCAAGCUUUGCAGCGUAGUUGGAGAAGAAGGAGACAAAUCGAUCAUCUACCUACUUGGCCGUUCUUUGCCGUCGUCGUCGUUUUCAAUUUUCCUUUGACUAGGAAAAUAAUUGGAGAUGAACUGAAGAUUUAUUCGAUUUGAAAGCAUCAAAAAUUUGAGCUAAUUCGUUUGAAGGAAAAUUGAAGUUUUUACUUGAUAUAAUCAAUAUCUAAGAUUAGAACCCUUGGGUUUAGUCUAUACUAUCUAGGGUUUAAUUUUCUUUAUUCAACACUUGAUUAAUUGAAAAGAGGGUUAUGGUUGGGGAAAGAGAUGAUGGUUGUCGUCAGAAAAAAAGGUUGUGGUUUGGGGAAAGAAACGUGGGUUGUGCUUGGGGAGAGGAGGAAGAAGAGAUGUAGAAGACAAGGGUAAAUGCAUAAUUUCGUGCAUCUCAAAAAUACCUAAAACUGAAGUCCAGGCAAAUAAUCCUAUAUCUGAAAUUUUUGACCCAAUAAAUGCCCAAUUCAAUAAUAA